GCUAUGGUGGUCUAGCGGUUAGAACGCUGGCCUUGUAAUCCUGGGGUCUCGGGUUCGAUUCCCGGCGGUGCCC
rfam:Zootermopsis nevadensis contig33065, whole genome shotgun sequence.